ACAAACAGAACACAGAGAAUUCUCAAUUCUCCCCCUGUACCAAACAAACAGAGCAACAACAAUACUACAGAGCUAAGCUAAGAUACUCAGCUACAUCUACAACUACUUUUCCCCCUUUUUAGCCAAAAGAGACCAAAGAUACAAAAUAAAUAUCUAUCUAGUCAUUAACAGAAAUACCAGAAGUUAAAGAGUUACAUCACCAAGUACAUACACAGUUGAAAGAAUUAUGAGAAACAAACCAAAAAAACACAGAAAUCCA
rnacentral:lncRNA from 1 species